rnacentral:tRNA from 1 species
GGUAAGAUAUCAAAAGUUGGGAGAGCGUCAGACUGAAGAUCUGAAGGUCGCGUGUUCGAUCCACGCUCACCG